rnacentral:misc_RNA from 1 species
GAUGAAGAACGCAGCGAAAUGCGAUAAAUAAUGUGAAUUGCAGAAUUCAGUGAAUCAUCGAGUCUUUGAACGCACAUUGCGCUCCCUGGUAUUCCGGGGAGCAUGCCUGUUCGAGCGUCAUUACAACCCUCAAGCUCUGCUUGGUGUUGGGCCCCGCCGCCCCGGCGGGCCCUAAAGUCAGUGGCGGUGCCGUCCGGCUCCGAGCGUAGUAAUUUUUCUCGCUUUGGAGGCCCGGGCGCGUGCUCGCCAUCAACCCCCAAUUUUUUUCAGGUUGACCUCGGAUCAGGUAGGGAUACCCGCUGAACUUAAGCAUAUCAAUAAGCGGAGGA